rnacentral:rRNA from 1 species
AUUGAACGGUGGCGGCAGGCCUAACACAUGCAAGUCGAACGGUAACAGGAAGAAGCUUGCUUCUUUGCUGACGAGUGGCGGACGGGUGAGUAAUGUCUGGGAAACUGCCUGAUGGAGGGGGAUAACUACUGGAAACGGUAGCUAAUACCGCAUAACGUCGCAAGACCAAAGAGGGGGACCUUCGGGCCUCUUGCCAUCGGAUGUGCCCAGAUGGGAUUAGCUAGUAGGUGGGGUAACGGCUCACCUAGGCGACGAUCCCUAGCUGGUCUGAGAGGAUGACCAGCCACACUGGAACUGAGACACGGUCCAGACUCCUACGGGAGGCAGCAGUGGGGAAUAUUGCACAAUGGGCGCAAGCCUGAUGCAGCCAUGCCGCGUGUAUGAAGAAGGCCUUCGGGUUGUAAAGUACUUUCAGCGGGGAGGAAGGGAGUAAAGUUAAUACCCUUGCUCAUUGACGUUACCCGCAGAAGAAGCACCGGCUAACUCCGU